GAUGAACGCUGGCGGCGUGCCUAAUACAUGCAAGUCGAGCGAACAGACGAGGAGCUUGCUCCUCUGACGUUAGCGGCGGACGGGUGAGUAACACGUGGAUAACCUACCUAUAAGACUGGGAUAACUUCGGGAAACCGGAGCUAAUACCGGAUAAUAUAUUGAACCGCAUGGUUCAAUAGUGAAAGACGGUUUUGCUGUCACUUAUAGAUGGAUCCGCGCCGCAUUAGCUAGUUGGUAAGGUAACGGCUUACCAAGGCAACGAUGCGUAGCCGACCUGAGAGGGGGAUCGGCCACAAUGGAACUGAGACACGGGCCAGACUCCUACGGGAGGCAGCAGUAGGGAAUCUUCCGCAAUGGGCGAAAGCCUGACGGAGCAACGCCGCGUGAGUGAUGAAGGUCUUCGGAUCGUAAAACUCUGUUAUUAGGGAAGAACAAAUGUGUAAGUAACUAUGCACGUCUUGACGGUACCUAAUCAGAAAGCCACGGCUAACUACGU
rnacentral:rRNA from 1 species